GAUGAAGAACGCAGCAAAAUGCGAUAAGUAAUGUGAAUUGCAGAAUUCAGUGAAUCAUCGAAUCUUUGAACGCACAUUGCGCCCGCCAGUAUUCUGGCGGGCAUGCCUGUUCGAGCGUCAUUUCAACCCUCAAGCCCUCGGGUUUGGUGUUGGGGAUCGGCGAGCCUUUCUGGCAAGCCGGCCCCGAAAUCUAGUGGCGGUCUCGCUGAAGCCUCCAUUGCGUAGUAGUAAAACCCUCGCAACUGGAACGCGGCGCGGCCAAGCCGUUAAACCCCCAACUUCUGAAUGUUGACCUCGGAUCAGGUAGGAAUACCCGCUGAACUUAAGCAUAUCAAUAAGCGGAGGA
rnacentral:misc_RNA from 1 species